rnacentral:rRNA from 1 species
GACAGAGGAUGCAAGCGUUAUCCGGAAUGAUUGGGCGUAAAGCGUCUGUAGGUGGCUUUUUAAGUCUGCCGUCAAAUCCCAGGGCUUAACCCUGGACAGGCGGUGGAAACUACCAAGCUGGAGUACGGUAGGGGCAGAGGGAAUUUCCGGUGGAGCGGUGAAAUGCGUAGAUAUCAGGAGGAACACCGGUGGCGAAGGCGGCUCUCUGGUCCACAACUGACGCUGAGGUGCGAAAGCUAGGGGAGCAAACGGG